rnacentral:lncRNA from 1 species
AGUUUACAUUACCACUAGCAGUAUAAAAGUGUUCCCUUUUCACCAAAUGCCCCCCAAUAUUUUUUAUUUUUUGCUGUUUUGAUUAUGGUCAUUCUUGCCAGAGUAAGCUGGCAUAGCAUUGUGAGUUUUUGGUUUUUUUUUUUGAGAUGGAGUCCGCUCUGUCACCAGGCUGGAGUGCAGUGGUGUAACCUUGGCUCACUGCAACUUCCACCUUCUGGGUUCAAGGGAUUCUCCUGCCUCAGCCUCCCGAGUAGCUGGGACUACAGGUGCCCACCACCACUCCCGGCUAAUUUUUGUAUUUUUAGGACAGAUGGAGUUUCACCAUGUUGGCCAGGGUGGUCUUGAUCUCUUGACCUAGUGAUCUACCCGCCUCAGCCUCCCAAAGUGCUGGGAUUUCAGGUGUGAGCCACCGCUCCCAGCCUGACAUUGUGGUUUUGAUUUGCAUUUCCCUGAUCUUUAGUGAUGAUGAGCAUUUUUUCAUGUUUGUUGGCCAUUUUUUAUAUCUCCUUUUGAGAACUGUCUAUUCAAGUCCUUAGCCCAUUAUUUGAAGGGAUUGGUUUUUUUCCUGUUAAUUUGAGUACCUUGUAGAUUCUGGUUAUUAGUCCUUUCUCAGACGUAUAGAUUGUGAAGAUUUUCUCCCAUUCCAUGGGUUGUCUGUUUACUCUGCUUAUUGUUUCUUUUGCUGUGCCAAAACGUUUUGGCUUGAUUAAGUCUAACCUUUUAAUCUUCAUUUUGUUGUUGUUGCACUUGCUUUUGGGUUCUUGGUCAUGAAGUCUCUGCCUAAGCCAAUGUGUAGAAGGGGUUUUCCAAUGUUACCUUCUAGAAUUUUUAUGGUUGCAGGUCUCAGAUUUAAGUUGACUUUUGUAUAAGGUAAGAGAUGGGAAUUCAGUUUCAUUUCUUGGGAUGUAGCUUGCCAAUUAUCCAAGCACCAUAUGUUGAGUAGGGUGUUCUUUCCCCACUUUAUAUUGUUUGCUUUGUCAAAGACCAGUUGGCUGUAAGUAUUUGAGUUUACUUCUGGGUUCUCUAUUAUGUUUCAUUGGUCUAUGUGCUUAUUUUUAUACCAGUAUUAUGCUGUUUUGCUGACUAUGGGUUUGUAGUAUAGAUUGAAGUCAGGUAAUGUAAUGCCUCCAGAUUUGUUCUUUCUGCUUAGUCUUGCUUUGGCUAUGUGGGCUCGUUUUUUUUUUCCCAUAUGAAUUUUAGAAUUAUCAGGAGCCACCAGGUGCUGCAGCAGCUUUGGGAUAACUUGAGGGCGCAUCCUGGGGAAGAAACACCUCCUGUCCAUGGUGCUAACUGCUGAGGACAGUGCUUCGGCGUGGCUUCUCCGUGGCCCAGCUUCUUUGGGGCGUUUUUCUUUCAUGGUUCAUCCAUAUGGCUCCAAAUGAAAAUUACAUUAAUUAUGGAUGAAGAGUAUUGUGUUGUGCAGAUAUACUGCAGUUUCUUCAUCCCUUCAUCUAUGGAUGGACAGGUUCCACAGUGUUGCCACGGAUGACCUGAUUUCAGUACCCGUGUCUGGCUGAAGAGUAUCUGGUUGUGACUGGAUACUGCAGUUUCUGGAUCUCAUCCUCUGUGGGUGGACAGGUUUCUCCAUCUUGCUGGUAGUGAACUGAUGUCCGGAAGUUUGAUGGCCGAAGAGUAUACCGUUGUGCAUAUAUCCUUCAAUUCCUGAUUUUAUCAUCUGUAGAAAGACAAAAAUCUUCAGACUGAUUUCCACAGUUUGAGAUCUAGUUUGCAUUACCUCCAAGAGAAUAGCCAUGUUUGCUUUUCUCUGCUGCCACACCAGCAUGUUAUGUUUUGACUUAGGACAAAUGGCCACUCUGACCAGCGUGUGAUGGCACCGGUACCUCAUCUCUGAUGAUUGGUGAUGUUGAGCAUUCCCCACGCCUGUUGGAAUGGCAAUCCCUUGGAAAUGUCUUCUCAAUAGUUACUACCCAUAGGUAUGUUGCUCAGGCCACUGUGUGGCCCCAGCACUUGGUUUGCAUAGGGACUUGGGGAUUGUUUGUCAUCAUUAGCCGGGACAAAUGUUACACUGCUGUUCCUACAGUGAGUAGUGGGAGUGGCGUAUGGGGGCAUAUGCUUAUGUCCACAGUUCCAUCAGAAAUCCCACUGCCUUAAGACAGUCUUACGGAAACCGAGUCCCAGCCUUGCAGCACCGGGUAGCCCUGUGGCAUUUUGACAUUGAGUGUGUCUGCAUUGUUGAAGUCACUCAGCAUGUUGCCAUGCGUUUAUCCACUUAGGUCAACGUUAAGGGAAGUUCAUCGCCUCUGCUUCUUCAGUAACUGAUGUCUGGUGCAUCAACUGAAUGCAUUUCAGGCUUUUCAGCAGUUCCCCCAGAUCUAUGGGUAAAAAAAGGUUUUCACCAUGCCCACCUCCCCAGUGAGUGACCAAUGUCUCAUUGUUAAUGCAUCUGAUGCACAGAGUUUAGUGGUCUGAGGGAGGUCAGUCGCCAAGCGGAGAUUGAAAUCACAUUUGUAUUUACAUUAUUACUUUUCUACAGUUUGGUUUGUUGCAGGCUUUCACACUACUAAUCUGGGCUGAAUCCUUGAAUUACUUUGUCUACCAAGGGUUUCAAAGAACUUGAUAAACUUGUUCUAAUUAGCCAACAUAUUCAUCCAUGUUGUCCGUAUACCAGGUGUAAAAAUAAAACGUUUCUUAAUGCACACAGGACAUGGAAGGCAAUCUACACAUUUUCAGGUGUAGACUUUGCUUGUGACUCUUUUGUGAGGAAUAGUCAUUGUUAUUUUAGGAAAACCCUGAGUUUAUCCAACUCUUGUUAGAAUUGGAUAAGUGUAAAAACCUACAAUAGAAUGCAAGUGUGAGAGCCAAUUCCUCUGGUAAAAUAAACUCAUAUUAUUAUUUAUAUAUGUCUGGUCAUUGUAUUAAUAAAAUCAGUUUGUUUUGGCUGAAACACAUGGUUGGCCUUUACAAUAGAUGUGAAAAUGGGCUUAUAGAUCAUUGCUCUUUAUUGUGAAUAUUAGGUUGUAUUUAUUGCCAAACUCUUUCAACAGCUUCUAAGCAGUGAAUUUUCAGUGCAUUGUUGUUGUUCUCCAAGUACAAGCAGCCACUUCAGUUUUACCACAUUCAUCUUCCACACACUGAUGAACCAUAUGGAGGCAGCAGGAAUUGAAGUAGAACCAGAGGGAGUAGUUAGGACAGACAUUCUGAUUCAUUCAUUCUGAUUCUCACUAUUGUCAGUGAGUAAAGGUUCAUUGAAUUUUUCUUCUGAUGAAUAAAAUGGUCAGUUUUCUCAGUGCAAUGGCUUACUUUUGGAAGAGCAGCUCUAAAGACUUUACUACUGAUUAGUAAAGUCUAAACUGCUUUCUGUAUUUUUUUUUAAAUUCAACUUUUAUUUUAGACUGAAUAAAAAUGUGCAGGUUUAUUGUGUGAUACUGAGUUUUGGGGUACGAUUGAAGCCAUCACUAAGGUAAUGAGCAUCUCACCUUCUCCUUCUCUUCACUCUGUUACAGAGAACAGACCCUCCCAGUCUUCAGUGCACUCUAAAUACUUGCUAAUUCUGGCCAAUGGAAGGCAUCUGUGGAAGAAAAAAGCCUCAGAUCAUGUGCUAUCUGUCUUUAUUCAGUGUGACAUAUUAGGUAAUGGUCACAGACACUCACCAUGGCCCCAGUUUUUAAUAACAUGACCCUGCUUUUGUGUUCCAGUAACUUCUGUUGUUUUCCCAAUCCUAAGUAUGAUAGAAACUUCCUGCUGCUGCUAAUCUCUGGGUUCCAUUUAAAAUCCUUCCAUCACAUGAAUACUAUGCUGUGUUCUAAAUUUUUCCAUAAUUAAAUACUUACAAUUAUUUUUGCCUACUUCUUUUGCCCCUUAGUGAUAUGUUUUAAAAACACUUAUAAUGUGUCACAAUAUAUUUAGCAAAUGUAGGGAAUGACAUUUUUACUUUCGUCAGCAUUUACACUAGCAUUUAUGGAGCGAUGCUAUAUAAAGUAUUUUUAGUAAUUUAAACGUUAUAUAACAGAUAUCCGUUGAUUCCUUUGUUUCUACGUAAAUAAGUAUACUUGAGAUAUUCAGUAAACAGUAUUGAAUACAUGUUUCAUUUGUAUAAUAUAAAAUUAUGAUUAUUCUUUUUAAACAGUACAUCAUAUUUGCUUGUUGGCUUUAUGAUAACUUAGAAAUAAUAUUCUGGAUUAACUGUGUGACUCAUGAGAAGAUUUGUGCAACUAUGUUUCCAAAUUUACUUGAUUUUCAAGACUUACACUAGAACUGUGAGAACAGGGUAAUAAAUAAGCAUAUGUAUUAAUAUCACCUUUGGUCAACUCUUGGGUAGCCCCAACGGUAGUGUAGGAAUUAACGUAAUUUUUCCUACUAAAAGUAUUGGAUUUGUUUUGAGAGACCACAGUUGAAAAUCAUUGACAUACAAAGUUUAAAAAUUGUUAGGUUAAAAAAUUUUAAAUGCAUUUGAAGUGGUUUUAUAGAAAAAUAAUUAUCUAACUUGGUUUAUAUUGACAGGUUGUUUUCUUGGAUAAGAACUAGACGAAGAGAAAGGGAGAUUAGUGAUAAAUGUCCAGGUUUUCAAGUUGAAAAGUAACAAUCAGUGUAUUACAACAGAUGGAUGUGAUGUCAAAUUACAAAUGCUGAAAAUGUUAUAUGUAAUCAUGUAGCCAGAGUAAUCAUACAAGGCAAAGAACGGAAAGGCAUCCAAAUAGGAAAGAGGCUGGAAUGCAGUGGCACCAUCUCAGCUCACUGCAACCUCCGCCUCCGGGUUCAAGUGCUGCUCCUGCCUCAGUCUC